AAUUAUUCUGCAAUCUUCCUGGUCCUGCCAUUAAUUUAUUUAAGUCCUGGAAGAAUACUUAAAUUGGUCUCAAGUUCCAUCAGCAAGAUGGGACGACUCCAUUGAAAAGAAACAUAAUAUAUGGAAAAAUUACUAGAAAAUCUAGGAAAACUGACUGAAUGCUUUGGAAAGACACAGUCAAGAUUAACAUGCUGAGACUCGGGAGGUGGUGAUUUGCCUAGGGACACAGAAAAGGACACAACGACACACUUCUUCACUAUAUGAAAAUCCUGGCUCACAAGCCUUCUGGCGGUUCGUACAUGGCCGUCUGUAACAGCUAGGAGAACAAACAAGAACACACUUACGUUAAAGAUCAAGGCAAUGGAUUCAUCAUGCUACCAAGAUUAAAAAAAAUGUGUCACAAGAAAGUUUACAGAACCUACUCAAACUCAAAGAGAAAUCAGAGACUAAAUUCUCAAAACUGGAAGCUCCCUACAGCAUCCACACUCUUCAGCCUUGUACUAUGUGAUGUGUAUUACGAAUGGAGCCACCGGCAGUAUUUGUAUGAACAUGAGACAAUGUGUGGCAGAUGCUUGGUGCUUUGUAAUAUUUAGUAAAAUAAAAC
rnacentral:lncRNA from 1 species